rnacentral:tRNA from 1 species
GGGGUUAUAUUUAAUUAUAAUAUUUGAAUUGCAAUCAAAAGGUAUCUUUCAAGAUUGAUCUUU